GGUGAUCCUGUUACCUGAGAACAGGAAAAGAACCUUGUUGUGUUCAGUGCGUCAGUUCAGACUCCAUGUUGAGUGGACGGAGCAGAAGGAGGUAAACUGAAGGCUGAGGCAGGACUGACUUCAGAUCAGAUAAUGAGUAAUCCUGUGGAGGAAGAGGAGGACAGAGCAGAGUCUCUAGUCUCCGGCUGUCUGUCUAUGAAGAGUGAUCGGUCCAAACGUGAACCUCCUAUUCUUCAGUAAUGAACCUGGACCCUCAGACACAAAAGUUCAGUACAGACAGAGAGCAGAGUCUCCAGUAUCCAGCUGUCUGUCUAUGAAGAGUGAUUGGUCCAAAGGUUUUCUUCCUCCAGACUUCAGUAAUGAACCUGGACCCUCAGACACAAACAGGUUGUUGUGUUGGUGUGAAGGUGUGGACUCUGCUAUGAAUCAGUGUGAGGACAGAGAGGAGGGAGUCC